GACGAACGCUGGCGGCGUGCCUAAUACAUGCAAGUAGAACGCUGAGGGAGGAGCUUGCUUCUCCGGAUGAGUUGCGAACGGGUGAGUAACGCGUAGGUAACCUGCCUUGGAGCGGGGGAUAACUAUUGGAAACGAUAGCUAAUACCGCAUAAGAGCACAUGUUGCAUGACGUUUGCUUAAAAGUUGCAAUUGCAUCGCUACCAGAUGGACCUGCGUUGUUUUAGCUAGUUGGUGAGGUAACGGCUCACCAAGGCGACGAUACAUAGCCGAACGGAGAGGGGGAGCGGCCACACUGGGACGGGGACCGGGCCCAGACUCCCACGGGAGGCAGCAGUAGGGAAACUUCGGCAAUGGACGGAAGUCUGACCGAGCAACGCGGAGUGAGUGAAGAAGGAUUUCGGGUCGUAAAGCUCUGUUGUAAGAGAGGAACGAGUGUGAGAGUGUAAAGUUCACACUGUGACGGUAUCUUACAAGAAAGGGACGGCUAACUACGUG
rnacentral:rRNA from 1 species